AACGAACGCUGGCGGCAUGCCUAACACAUGCAAGUCGAACGAGACCUUCGGGUCUAGUGGCGCACGGGUGCGUAACGCGUGGGAACCUGCCCUUAGGUUCGGAAUAACUCCCCGAAAGGGGUGCUAAUACCGGAUAAUGUCUUCGGACCAAAGAUUUAUCGCCUUUGGAUGGGCCCGCGUUGGAUUAGCUAGUUGGUAGGGUAAAAGCCUACCAAGGCGACGAUCCAUAGCUGGUCUGAGAGGAUGAUCAGCCACACUGGGACUGAGACACGGCCCAGACUCCUACGGGAUGCAGCAGUGGGGAAUAUUGGAAAAUCGGCGAAAGCCUGAUCCAGCAAUGCCGCUUGAGUGAUGAAGGCCUUAGGGUUGUAAAGCUCUUUUACCCGGGAUGAUAAUGACAGUACCGGGAGAAUAAGCUCCGGCUAACUCCGUG
rnacentral:rRNA from 1 species